UACGUAGGGUGCGAGCGUUAAUCGGAAUUACUGGGCGUAAAGCGUGCGCAGGCGGUUCGUUGUGUCGGCGGUGAAAGCCCCGGGCUCAACCUGGGAAUGGCCGUUGAAACUGGCGAACUGGAGUGUGGCAGAGGGGGGUGGAAUUCCGCGUGUAGCAGUGAAAUGCGUAGAUAUUGGGAAGAACACCGAUGGCGAAGGCAGCCAUCUGGACCGACACUGACGCUGAGGCGCGAAAGCGUGGGGAGCAAACAGG
rnacentral:rRNA from 1 species